rnacentral:rRNA from 1 species
AAGGUAGCAUAAUAAAUAGUUUUUUAAUUGAAAACUAGAAUGAAUGAUUGAAUGAAAUAUAAGCUGUUUCAAAUUAAUUAUAUUUAAUUUAAUUUUUUAGUGAAAAAGCUAAAAUUUUUAUGAAAGACGAGAAGACCCUAUAGAUCUUUAUAAAUAAAAAUGAAAAUAAUAAAUGUUAAUAAUUUAAUUUUUUUAUUUAUUAAAUUGGGGUGAUUAAAAAAUUAAAAUAAUUUUUUUAAGUUAAAAACAAUAAUUUUUGAAUAUAUUAUCUAUUAAUAAUAAAUUAAGAAAAAGUUACCUUAGGGAUAACAGCAUAAUUUUAAUUUUAAGUUCUUAUUAAAAUUAAAGAUUGUGACCUCGAUGUUGGAUUAAGAUUAAAUAUAAAUGCAAAAGUUUAUGGUUUGAGUCUGUUCGACUUUUAAAAUCUUACAUGAUCUGAGUUCAGACCGGCGUGAGCCAGGUUG